rnacentral:rRNA from 1 species
GAACGCGAAGUCCCGCAAGGGAUCAGUAGAGUGGCAAACGGGUGAGUAACACGUGGGUGACCUGCCUUCGAGUGGGGGAUAACGUCCCGAAAGGGACGCUAAUACCGCAUGACAUCCUGCCUUUGAAGAGGCGGUGAUCAAAGCUGGGGAUCGCAAGACCUAGCGCUUGGAGAGGGGCCCGCGCCCGAUUAGCUAGUUGGUGGGGUAAUGGCCUACCAAGGCAACGAUCGGUAGCCGGCCUGAGAGGGCGGACGGCCACACUGGGACUGAGACACGGCCCAGACUCCUACGGGAGGCAGCAGUGGGGAAUUGUUCGCAAUGGGCGCAAGCCUGACGACGCAACGCCGCGUGGAGGAUGAAGAUCUUCGGGUCGUAAACUCCUUUCGAUCGAGACGAAUGGCCUUCGGGUGAACAAUCCGGAGGAAUGACGGUACCGAGAGAAGAAGCCCCGGCUAACUCCGUGCCAGCAGCCGCGGUAAUACGGGGGGGGCAAGCGUUGUUCGGAAUUACUGGGCGUAAAGGGCUCGUAGGUGGCCAACUAAGUCACACGUGAAAUCCCUCGGCUUAACCGGGGAACUGCGUGUGAUACUGGAUGGCUUGAGUUUGGGAGAGGGAUGCGGAAUUCCAGGUGUAGCGGUGAAAUGCGUAGAUAUCUGGAGGAACACCGGUGGCGAAGGCGGCAUCCUGGACCAAUACUGAC